CUGCCAUCAUCAUCGCUGUUAUUGUUAUCAUCUUGAUCAGAGGAAUCCAACCCAACAUCAGGAGAGGGGUGGCGAAUACCAACAGCAUUCUGAUCUGAUGCAUGGUGAUGAAAGGUCCUCUCAGACUGAUGCCUCAGCCGUCUACCAUGGUCAUUCCCUGAUGACGGCCCAAACGCAUGCAAUAGAAGAAAGACAUUCACCAGAUUACUAUCAAAGCCCACCUCAAAGCUCCCAGCCCUCUCUGCCAUAGCGUUUACAUCAAAACCUCCAUCCUCUUCAUCUGAAUCCAAAGCAUUAUGAUUACUUUCUAUUACAUA